UCAAGCUACAAAGAGCACAAGGGGAAUGCCUUGGCACCGAGAGCCGAAGAAGGACGUGACUAACUGCGAUAAGCUGCGGGGAGCCGUAAGUAGGCUUUGAUCCGCAGAUUUCCGAAUGGAGCAAUCCGGCAAGAGGAAAGUCUUGUCAUCAUAUACUGAAUACAUAGGUAUAUGAGGGGAACCGCCUGAACUGAAACAUCUAAGUAGGGCGAGGAAGAGAAAUCAACUGAGAUUCCGUAAGUAGUGGCGAGCGAACGCGGAAGAGGCCAAACCGAGAGUAGUAAUACUUUCGGGGUUCGGACAGAAAACGGUAUUGUAAAGGUUUAGUGGAAUGGAAUGGGAAGUCCAACCGAAGAAGGUGAGAGUCCUGUACACGAAAAGCCUGAACAGCCAUCUGUAUCCAGAGUACCGCCGGACACGUGAAACCCGGUGGGAAUAUGGGGGGACCAUCCUCCAAGCCUAAAUACUACUCGGUGACCGAUAGUGAAGAAGUACUGUGAAGGAAAGGUGAAAAGUACCCCUGACGGGGAGUGAAAAAGAACCUGAAACCUUGUGUUUACAAGCACCGAAAGCUCAUCAAAGAGCGAUCGGGUACCUUUUGUAGAAUGGUCCGGCGAGUGAAUGUAACCGGCGAGGUUAAGCACUUAAGGUGUGAAGCCGCAGCGAGAGCAAGUCUGAAUAGGGCGUAUGAAGUCGGUUGUAUUCGACCCGAAACCGGGUGACCUACCCAUGGUCAGGUUGAAGUAAAGGUAAAACUUUAUGGAGGACCGAACCGACUCCCGUUGAAAUGGUAGCGGAUGAACUGUGGGUAGCGGAGAAAUUCCAAUCGAACCCGGAGAUAGCUGGUUCUCUCCGAAAUAGCUUUAGGGCUAGCCUUGAAAUAGAUUACCGGAGGUAAAGCACUGAAUUGGCUAGGGGCCGAGAGGUUACUGAACCUUAUCAAACUAAGAAUGCCGGAUAAUCGUUUUUCAGGAGUCAGACAGUGGGAGAUAAGUUUCAUUGUCAAAAGGGAAACAGCCCAGACCCACAGCUAAGGUCCCCAAGUAUAGUUAAGUGGAAAAGGAUGUGGAAUUGCACAGACAACCAGGAUGUUGGCUUAGAAGCAGCCACUCAUUAAAAGAGUGCGUAAUAGCUCACUGGUCGAGUGACUCUGCGCCGAAAAUUUAACGGGGCUAAACUAUACACCGAAGCUUGGGAUACAUCUAAUGUAUGGUAGGAGAGCGUUCUGUAUGGGGAGAAGUCGUAGCGAAAGCGGCGGUGGACUAUACAGAAGUGAGAAUGCCGGAAUAAGUAGCGAGAAUUAAGUGAGAAUCUUAAUGGCCGAAAGUCUAAGGUUUUUGGAGGAAGGUUCGUCCGCUCCAAGUAAGUCGGGAGCUAAGGUCAGGCCGAAAGGCGUAGCCGAUGCACAUACGGUUGAUAUUCCGUAACCAUCUGUAAUUUAAGCAAAGGGACACUUCAAAAGGGUGUGACCCGGGCGUUGGUUGACCCGGGCGUAAGGGACCGAAAUUAGAGUAGGGAAGCACACUUAGCUGAAGGCGAGAAAAGCUUUGCGUAUAGAAGCAGAUGCCCGUACCGCAAACCGACACAGGUGGACAGGAAGAGAAUUCUAAGGCCAGCGGGAGAAGGGUAGUUAAGGAACUCGGCAAAUUGACUCCGUAACUUCGGAAUAAGGAGUGCUCGAAAGAGCCGCAGAGAAUAGGCCCAGGCGACUGUUUAGCAAAAACACAGGUCUCUGCCAAAUCGAAAGAUGAAGUAUAGGGGCUGACACCUGCCCGGUGCCGGAAGGUUAAGAGGAGGAGUGAGAGCUCCGAAUUGAAGCCCCGGUAAACGGCGGCCGUAACUAUAACGGUCCUAAGGUAGCGAAAUUCCUUGUCGGG
rnacentral:rRNA from 1 species